AUGGCAAAAUGUGACAAUGCUAGUCCUAGAACCAAACAGCCCCGUCAUUCCACACCAUGUGAUGCUAGGAGCGCCUCCCUUUCCUCCUCCUCCUCCCCCAACUUCCAAGAAGCAAUCAUGCUGCCUCGAGCACCUUGGGCCCUUCGCCAUCAUCACCACCACCUCCUCCUCUUUCCUCCGGCACCUACUUCCAAGGAGAGGCCGGGGGAGCUAUAG
rnacentral:rRNA from 1 species